AGCGAACGCUGGCGGCAGGCUUAACACAUGCAAGUCGAGCGGACCUUUCGGGGUCAGCGGCGGACGGGUGAGUAACGCGUAGGAACGUGCCUUCCGGUUCGGAAUAACCCUGGGAAACUAGGGCUAAUACCGGAUACGCCCUUAUGGGGAAAGGUUUACUGCCGGAAGAUCGGCCCGCGUCUGAUUAGCUAGUUGGUGGGGUAACGGCCUACCAAGGCGACGAUCAGUAGCUGGUCUGAGAGGAUGAUCAGCCACACUGGGACUGAGACACGGCCCAGACUCCUACGGGAGGCAGCAGUGGGGAAUAUUGGACAAUGGGCGCAAGCCUGAUCCAGCCAUGCCGCGUGAGUGAUGAAGGCCUUAGGGUUGUAAAGCUCUUUUAUCCGGGACGAUAAUGACGGUACCGGAGGAAUAAGCCCCGGCUAACUUCGUG
rnacentral:rRNA from 1 species